GACGAACGCUGGCGGCGUGCUUAAUACAUGCAAGUCAACUGAACUUGAGAUAGCAAUAUUUUAAGGGAGGUGGCGCACGGGUGAGUAACACGUAGGUAAUCUGCCUUUAGGUCUGACACAAUCCCGAGAAAUCGGGGCUAAUAUCAGAUGAUGCAGCGGCUCGACAUCGAGACAGUUGUUAAACCUUCGGGGCCUAGAGAUGAGCCUGCGUCUGAUUAGGUAGUUGGCGGAGUAAAAGCCCACCAAGCCUGCGAUCAGUAGCUGGUCUGAGAGGAUGAUCAGCCACACUGGAACUGAGACACGGUCCAGACUCCUACGGGAGGCAGCAGUAAGGAAUAUUGCUCAAUGGCCGAAAGGCUGAAGCAGCAACGCCGCGUGGAGGAUGAAAUACUUUUGUAUGUAAACUCCUGUAAGAGGGAAAAUAUUCCGAUUUA
rnacentral:rRNA from 1 species